rnacentral:lncRNA from 1 species
ACAAAUCUUGUGAUUUAUGGCUUUUUGUGAGUUAGGGUUUGUAAUUUUUGAGUUCUGUUUUUUUUUUUUUUAUUUUGUAGGCUUCACAUUGUGGAGGAGCGAUUUGCGGCUUUCUACGAGUUAGGGUUUGUGAUUUUUGGGUUUUGAUUUUUUUUUUAAUUUUGUAGGUUUGAUGGUGUAGAGAAGACAAAUGUUGCGAUUUGGGUUUGAGUUUUCAAAUGUAAGUUGCUUGUGGUUGUUCGAUGAAGAUGAACAGGCUUGUGGUGGGUAUUGCUCGUUGAUUUGUGAGGUUGAAGGGGAUCAUGUUGGUGGUUCUGAUGAUUAUCAACUUUCAC